rnacentral:tRNA from 3 species
UCCCGCGUAGCUCAACGGCAGAGCAGCCGGCUGUUAACCGGCAGGUUAUUGGUUCGAGUCCAAUCGCGGGAG